CAAGGGGUAGUUUAAUUAGAAUGUCAGCUUUGGGUGCUGAUGGUGGGGUCUGGGCCUCUCCCUUGA
rnacentral:tRNA from 1 species